CCUACGGGUGGCAGCAGUGGGGGAUAUUGCACAAUGGGGGGAACCCUGAUGCAGCGACGCCGCGUGGGUGAAGAAGCGCCUCGGCGCGUAAAGCCCUGUCAGCAGGGAAGAAAAUGACGGUACCUGAAGAAGACGCCCCGGCUAACUCCGUGCCAGCAGCCGCGGUACUACGUAGGGGGCAAGCGUUAUCCGGAUUUACUGGGUGUAAGGGGGGCGCAGACGGCGAUGCAGGCCAGGAGUGAAAGCCCGGGGCCCAACCCCGGGACUGCUCUUGGAACUGCGUGGCUGGAGUGCAGGAGGGGCAGGCGGAAUGCCUGGUGUAGCGGUGAAAUGCAUAGAUAUCAGGAGGAACACCGGUGGCGAAGGCGGCCUGCGGGACUGCAACUGACGUUGAGGCCCGAAAGCGUGGGGAGCAAACAGGAUUAGAUACCCGAGUAGUC
rnacentral:rRNA from 1 species